rnacentral:rRNA from 1 species
CCUUUAGAUGUUCUGGGCCGCACGCGCGCUACACUGAUGCAUUCAACGAGUCUAAAACCUGCUCUGAUAGGGGUGGGUAAUCUUUUGAAUGUGCAUCGUGAUUGGGAUAGAUGAUUGCAAUUUUUCAUCUUCAACGAGGAAUGCCUAGUAAACGCAAGUCAUCAGCUUGCAUUGAUUACGUCCCUGCCCUUUGUACACACCGCCCGUCGCUCCUACCGAUUGAAUGAUCCGAUGAAUAUCAUGGAUUGAGGAUGCAAGUAGGUUAGCCUAUCUUCAUCUUCGAGAAGUGAAGUAAAUCUUAUCAUUUAGAGGAAGGAGAAGUCGUAACA